CCAGGCCGAUUGUACACUGUGAAUGAAGGUUUAAUCUAUGUCAUCCUUUGUCACAGGUCAUCCUGUUGCCUGGGAUGAAGUGUCACAUAGUUUGAAUCCACAUUGCUUGCUGACUUCAUGGGGUGAAUGAACUUUUCCAAGAUUCUGGAAGCCUAUUGUAAUUUGUGUUCUCUACAUUUUCCUGAGGUCCCAGGGAUGCCGUGACUACUAAGCUCUAUGGUAGGAGUUGGGGCAGGAGGAAACAACUUUAGAAGACACCUGUGUGUCCCUCCCUGCUUGCAUCUAGCUUCUUCGUCUGCCCAGGUGGACUGCUCUUACCGUUGCAAAUCUGGGAGCACUCAGUUGUGGAACCCAGCCACCAUGUUGUGAAGAAGCCCUGUGCAGUGGUCCAAGUGACCAGGAGUCAAAGCUCCCAGCCAAUAGCCAGCACUAACUUGUCAGCAGUGUCAUGGAGCCCACUUGAAAGAGGAUUCUAAUUAUGCUGCCCAAGCUGUGGCCACAUGGAGGAGAGAUAUACAGUCCCUGCUGAACCCUGCUCUAAUUACAGGGAGACUUGAAAACCAGUGGUGGCGAGACUCCAAGACUAUUAUUUUUAUUUCCGGACAAAAACAUCUGCUUCACACAGUGCACGGC
rnacentral:lncRNA from 1 species